GGGUCAGUAGGUUGGUCGUGCCACCGGUACGUACUGGUCUCACUGAUUCCUCCUUCCUGAAGAACCGUAAUGCCAUUAAUUUGGUGUUGCGGGGAAACAGGACUGUUACUUUGAAAAAAUUAGAGCGUUUAAAGCAAGCUAACGCUUGAAUACAUUAGCAUGGAAUAAUGAAAUAGGACGAUCGAUCCUAUUUUGUUGGUUUCUAGGAUUGACGUAAUGAUUAAUAGGGAUAUUGGG
rnacentral:rRNA from 1 species